GAGUUUGAUCCUGGCUCAGAUUGAACGCUGGCGGGAUGCCUUACACAUGCAAGUCGAACGGCAGCGCGGACUUCGGUCUGGCGGCGAGUGGCGAACGGGUGAGUAAAGUAUCGGAACGUGCCCAGUAGCGGGGGAUAACUACGCGAAAGCGUAGCUAAUACCGCAUACGCCCUGAGGGGGAAAGCGGGGGAUCUUCGGACCUCGCACUAUUGGAGCGGCCGAUAUCGGAUUAGCUAGUUGGUGGGGUAACGGCUCACCAAGGCGACGAUCCGUAGCUGGUUUGAGGGGACGACCAGCCACACUGGGACUGAGACACGGCCCAGACUCCUACGGGAGGCAGCAGUGGGGAAUUUUUGGACAAUGGGGGCAACCCGUGAUCCAGCCAUCCCGCGUGUGCGAUGAAGGCCUUCGGUUGUAA
rnacentral:rRNA from 1 species